UGUGCUAGGCGGCAGCACCCUUCCUCCCUUCUCGAGGAGAAAAAAAAAAAGAAAACAAGCUGGCUUGGACUGGUGUUGGGGGCGGAUGUGCGAGGUGCUGAGGCUGCGGGGCUGAGCCAGCUGCUUCCCUUUGAAAGUGCGAAGAGAGGUGUGAUCAGCCCCUGCCCGGUGGAGGUGUGAACUGCCCUUUCUGAGAAGAGGGCUUAACUGACAGGGAGAGGGGUCCCUUGAAGGUAUGAUAAUGGUAUCUCUACCAAAAUUUUUACAGAUGAACCAAUUUGUUUCAGAAAAUUACUGGAGAGAGAGAGAAGUCAAUGGAAGCAAGGAUGAAGUAAAAAGUGGACAUGAAUUAAAUGGCAAAACUGCUUGAUCCUGGGAUGAAUAUGGAGGAAAGCAGAGAAUACAUAGGAAGAAAGCAAGACAUUCUGAAGAUACCAUUUGAACAUGUGGAUCCAGCAAUGCCUGACUGACUGGACUCAUUCCUGGACUUUAUAAUCCUUUAAGCUAAUAAAUGUCCUUUUGCGAUAAACCAGUUGGAAAUGGGUUUCUGUCACUUACAAAUGUAAAUACACAUGGGGUACUGCCCUGACAUUGCAUUUCCAUGGGAUUUUUACGUAAGUGUGCAAUAUUGCUUAGCCCUUUCUGAUUUUCCCAUAUCUUUUCUUUUAAAAAUACUUUAUUUUGAAAAAUGUCAAACUUAAAAUCGUGCUGCAACUUAUAAGUAUGGAACAAUGAAAUUUCAUAUAUCCUUCAUCUAGAAUCAUCAGUUAAUAUUUUAAAAAUAGUUGCCUCAAAUGUUUUGUUGUUGUUAUUAUAUUUUGUUGUUAUUAUAUUUGUUGAAUCAUUUGAGAAUUCGUUAUAGACAUUAUGAAUUCUUACCCCUAAAUGUAAACAUGUAACUCCUAAAAGUAAGAACAUUCUCUUAUCAAUACAGUAUCAAACUCAUGAAAAUUAACUUUGAUACAAUAUUACCAUCUACUAUACAACUCAUGUUCCAAUUUUUCCAAUUGUCCUUUUUAAAAGUUGAAUGCUUGCCUAGCACGUGCAAGGCCCUGGGUUCGAUCUUCAGCAUCACAUAAAAAUAAAUAAAUAAAAUAAAGGUAUUGUGUCCAAUUACAACUAAAAAAUAAAUACUAAAAAAGUUUUAAAAAAAAUACAGUUGGAGAAAAUACAUGAAAUUUAUCAUGUGUGAAUUUCAUCUCAAUAAAACAUUGUAAAAGUCAAUAAUCAUUAGGAGUAAGGCUGUGGUGAGCAUUGUCCUGCCAUGCGGAUCAUUUCUGAAAUUCUGUGUUCCUGUGAUGCAGUGAUGCUCAUCCACUGUUCUGUGGCCUGCUCAUCUUCCCAGCAGAAUGCUCUGGCUUCUUGUGGCAAUGGUUUCCAAGCUCCUCUCAGUCAUUUUAAUGGUCAUUUAGAAUUCCAUUAAAUAUCCCAGAAUAUGCUUAACUGUUUCCAACUAGUAGGUGGUUUGUACUCUUCACACCAUAAUAAAGAGUGCUAUGAUGAUUA